rnacentral:antisense_RNA from 1 species
GACUUGCCCAAGGACACUGCCGGGGCUUGAGUGUUGGAGGACUUGAGCCUUAGAGUGUUGAACACUUAGAAGUGUUGAAGAGCUAGUUUGAGAACUAGCUCUGCCAUGAGCUGUGACACAAUGGCCAUUAUCUUGUUGCGCCUUGAGUAUAUUAUCCCUAAAAUGGGAUAAUUGCUGCCCUGCCUGUAUUAUGUGAUUAUUGAAGAACGGAGUGAAGAAACAGCUAUUCUAGCAAAUAUUUACUGAGUGCUUACUUUCCGAAUGUUCUAAUCCUUCACGCAACCCAACCGCUUCUGACAGCAGUCCUGCCGCUUAGAUCAGUCAUGAACGGAGGGGAUGCCACCAUUACGAUGUGUUUCUUUAUCUGAAUGAAGAUGCAAGACUGUUGUAGAAAAAGAGGCCAAAUGACUGCACUUACCUGCUAAGGACAAAGUGGGAGCCUCUAUCAUGAAGGGCACCAG